UACGGGGGGGGCAAGCGUUGUUCGGAAUUACUGGGCGUAAAGGGCUCGUAGGCGGCCAACUAAGUCGGAUGUGAAAUCCCCAGGCUUAACCUGGGAACUGCAUCCGAUACUGGAUGGCUUGAGUUUGGGAGAGGGACGCGGAAUUCCAGGUGUAGCGGUGAAAUGCGUAGAUAUCUGGAGGAACACCGGUGGCGAAGGCGGCGUCCUGGACCAACACUGACACUGAUGAGCGAAAGCCAGGGGAGCAAACGGG
rnacentral:rRNA from 1 species